GCAAGUCGAGGGGUAGAAUGUCUUCGGACGUUUGAGAACGGCGCACGGGUGCGUAACGCGUAUGCAACCUAACUCUUACUGGGGAAUAGCCCGGAGAAAUUCGGAUUAAUGCCCCAUAUGCUCGUACGACCUCAUGGUCGAGCGAGGAAAGCUCCGGCGGUAAGAGAUGGGCAUGCGUCCUAUUAGCUUGUUGGUGAGGUAACAGCUCACCAAGGCUACGAUAGGUAGGGGGCCUGAGAGGGUGACC
rnacentral:rRNA from 1 species